GAUGCCAGGGUUCAAAGGUCUGAAUCCACGCUGUGCCUGCACAGAAGUGGAUGAAAGACCUUGGGACCCGCCCCGAUAUGAGCAUAAAAGUGGGAUGGAUAUCCCACGAUAUGCGAAUAGCGGGCAGGAUUUUGGG
rnacentral:sRNA from 1 species